GGGUUUUCUUGGAAAUCACCUGUCCAUCGUUAAUUUUAAACAAUCUCCAUAUCUCCAAAGAAUCUCUUCCAUAUUACAGUCUGGAAUGUGGUUAAUGAAAAACAAGUAGGGAGGAUUUCUGGGGCAAACACUGCCGGAUCAGGAUCGUAGUUCUCAGGCACGGAAUGGCUAGUGUGAGAAACACCAACGUCAGGCCCAUCUCAGAUCUUCACUAUGGCAACUCAUGCAAGAAACUGUUGAAUUAGACCCGUUUCCUAUAGAUGAGAAACCAUACAAGCUGUGGUAUUUAUGAGCCUCCAUUUCUUAUACUACUGCAGUGAACCAACAUUGGAUGUGAAAAUUGCCUUUUGUCAGGUGUGUGUUCCUUACAGGUAAAACAAGGGAUUCGAUAAACAAGUGGAUGUGUCAUAUAUUGCCAAACAUUACAACAUGAGCAAAAGCAAAGUUGACAACCAGUUCUACAGUGUGGAAGUGGGAGACUCAACCUUCACAGUUCUCAAGCGCUACCAGAAUCUAAAGCCUAUUGGCUCUGGGGCUCAGGGCAUAGUUUGUGCCGCGUAUGAUGCUGUCCUUGACAGAAAUGUGGCCAUUAAGAAGCUCAGCAGACCCUUUCAGAACCAAACACAUGCCAAGAGAGCGUACCGGGAGCUGGUCCUCAUGAAGUGUGUGAACCAUAAAAACAUUAUUAGUUUAUUAAAUGUCUUCACACCCCAGAAAACGCUGGAGGAGUUCCAAGAUGUUUACUUAGUAAUGGAACUGAUGGAUGCCAACUUAUGUCAAGUGAUUCAGAUGGAAUUAGACCACGAGCGAAUGUCUUACCUGCUGUACCAAAUGUUGUGUGGCAUUAAGCACCUCCAUUCUGCUGGAAUUAUUCACAGGGAUUUAAAACCAAGUAACAUUGUAGUCAAGUCUGAUUGCACAUUGAAAAUCCUGGACUUUGGACUGGCCAGGACAGCAGGCACAAGCUUCAUGAUGACUCCAUAUGUGGUGACACGUUAUUACAGAGCCCCUGAGGUCAUCCUGGGGAUGGGCUACAAGGAGAACGGUAGGGAUGCUUCGGGAGAGCAGCGUCAAAACCAUGAAUAAAACGGGUGCAUGUUGUAGAUAGCUAAGGAGAAUGUUCUCUUUCAUGUACAUGCUUUUAUAAAGUAGGGCUGCCAGAUAGCAUAUUCAGGUUUUUUUUUUUAAUACUACUGGUAAGAAACACAUUAAAAAUGUGAAGGAUGUUAUUGAGAAGUCAGUUUUGCUAGAAGAGCACUAAAUGUUAAUAGUGAAAAAGAAUUGUAAAUGGAGUCUGAUUAAAUAGUCAAGUGGAUGCUGAUUAGCACACGUGCCUAGAUAUUGAGAAAAAUUGCUAUUUGGGUUGCAGCUCAGCUAAGCGUGAGUGUGAAAGCAGGAAGGAAUCUACCACAUUUGGCCAUGUGGCUUUUAUGUCGUAUCUCAGACUGAUGGCUGUAGUUCUAGAAAAAGACAAGCAAAAAAGUGACACAAAUCCUUGGAGUGAAAAUCUUCACAGACAACUUUGAAAUAAUCCAAAUUAUUUAAACUGAAUAAGAAUUUCUGAAAUAAUUUAAGCUGCUCUGUAAGAAAUAUUUAGAGUAGCAAUUGCCUAAUAAAUCCUUAUAUAUUCCAAAAAUCGUAAAAAAGGAAAAUGUCAAAUUUGACACUACUGCUUUCAUAAAGAAAACUUAAUUUUCAUGAACACUUUAAAAUGAAGGCUAUGGAGGGAAUCUUAAAAAUGUAUUACAAUUGAGUGUAGUAGAUUAAAACUAAGGAUUUAUUAAAUAUCUGUUAGAAAGCAUUGCAAUGUAUUAUUUUGAUGAGACUAUAUAUUACAAGUAAUGCACCAUAUUGAAAACAUAUUCAAUAUACUUAGGAAUUAAAAUAGUUUUUAAUUAGGAUUGUAUAUGUAUUCAAUGUAUCUUUAAUAUUUAUUUUUAUAUUCUAUUUAGUUUUUAGCAGUCUAUAUUAAUAAGAAGUUUUAUAAAAAUAAUCAGUGUAUUUUUAUGUACAGGUGCUACAGGGUACUUUUGUGAAAAUUCCCUGGCCACUGAAGUUUACAGAAACUUCUUUGUAUACUCUUAGAUUAGAAGACAGAUAAUGUAUGUACGCAUUUAUACAGAGGAAGUUAAAAAGUCACCUCUUACGAAGGUCAGGUUCACCCUGGUGGGCAAUAUCGGAGUUCUGGUACCUUUUGACUCAGAAGAGAUGAAUCUAGCCCUCCUUGCUAGGCAAUACCACAUCUAAUUUAUUCAGAAAAGAAAACAUUUUUAUACUUUCUUCACAAGUUAUUUUUAAAAAGUCAAAAGAGAAACAAAGUCAAGAAUCAAGAAUGUACAGGAGACUGGGGGGUGGGGCAGUCUGAAUUUGCCUAUUUGGGCUUUCAGAUCUUGGCACUGCAAAUAGCUGGUAUUAAAAUCCCUUUCCCUUCCCUCACUAGAAGGAAUUGCAAGUUGCUGCCUUAGGUUUUUGACUUUUCUAAGUCCAUGGAGGAGGACUGCCUAGCACCCUGGUGCUGCCCUCCCACCAAUGGGAGGAAGGUUAUCAUGCAGAAAAAACCUGCUUGCUCCCACAUCAGGCAUGCCCUGCUGUCCCCUGCACCUAGCCCUGCCUUCCUUCCCCACGGAACAAUUCGGCCAAAUGAUUCUGCCCAAAAGUUCCCUUUGUUCAUAAUAAAAAGCAAAUUGGAAAGGGGUAAAGAUUGGUAGGAGAAGGCAAAGUAUGUAUUCCUAACAAGUUUGACAAUUUGGAAAUAAAUAUAUGUACAUAACAAUUUUUAACAUCUUUAAUACUUUUUUCACUUUCCUUCCAGAUGACUCCUUUAUACAUGUGCUAAUUCAUCAUAUGUCUUUUUUCUUGAAAUAUUUCAAAUGGAAACUAAAACUGAUGUUUAUUUACAAGAAUAAACUUCUGAAGGAAAAGCUAAGUCUCAAAUACCAGGAAUUCCAAUUCUUUUGCCUCUAAACCAUGGUUCCAGUCAUUUCGUGGUUUAUUGGAUUUGGUUGAAUUUAUCUUGUUUUGCCCCCGCCCCCUGGCCCCCUGAAAAAAAGGUGGUCUCUUGUUGCCCUGUUCUCUGUAACUGAAUAGAAUAGAAAAUGAAAAUAGCCACCUCUACAAGUUAAUAUUGUUUUCUCUACAUCCAGAAAAUGACACAGAAGACCCAUUGGUGGCUUUUAGCUGUCACCUGCCAUGGAGAUACUUUUGGUUUAGCUAUUGCUUUUCUCAGUCACCAAUGUCACUACUUUGUGGCACUACUGAGAGGCAAUGUAAGGCACCCACAAAGUAAUGGUUUUUUUAAACAGUAAUUUGAGUUCUCAUACUAGACACUGUUUAUGUAAUAGCAUAGUGCUGGUUUGAAUUCACCUUUUGGCCAACUUUUGGUGGGAGGUGAAAAUUGUACUUUUAAUCAAACUGUUCUUUUUCCUCCUCCUUCAGAAGUCAAUUAUCUUAGUUAACUUUACUUUCCUCCCUUUUCUUCACUACCCUCUCUCUCCUGUUCUAGUGGAUAUAUGGUCUGUGGGAUGCAUUAUGGGAGAAAUGGUUCGCCACAAAAUCCUCUUUCCAGGAAGGGACUGUAUCCUUGUACCUUUUGCUACAGCUUUACCUGUUUUGUUCUCUCUCCCUUUUAAACACAUAAUGAUUUUACCAGGAGAGUAAAGAUAGAAGCAAAAAGUUGGAACUUUUAAACUUGAACCCUAAGCAAAAAUAGUAAAAUGUCUUGACAAAUCAGAGAAUCUUAUGAAAUUGUCAUUGAUGACUGAAGUUUAACUACUUUCCCACAUUCAAACUAUCUUUGCAUUUUGAGAAACAUCGUGGGGGUUUCUUGGUGGUCAAUAUGAUCUAGAUGAUAUCACAGGGAAUUGUCUUGGUUACUA
rnacentral:sRNA from 1 species